GCCUGGGUGGCUCAGUCGGUUGAGCAUUUGACUUCAGCUCAUGAUGUCAGAGUUCAUGGGUUCAAUCCCCACAUCAGGCU
rnacentral:tRNA from 1 species